rnacentral:misc_RNA from 1 species
CAAAUUGCACCCAUUGAAGCUAAGGCUUGUCAUCCUCUGCUUCCUUUCCAUCCAGUCAUCCUGAAACAAAAAAAAUCUGCAUAAAACCCCAUUUCUCAUGGUGGUUCAAGCCUUUUCAUCAUUUCUUUAAGAGCCCAGAUUUUUGUCUCUUUCCGAAGAAUUAUGCCAUGGAGGUUCUAAAUGCAGCAGGUUUGACCCCAAUAUCGGUUCUUUGUGAAAAAAGAACAGAACCCAGAAAAUUUUUGUGUAUUCCUGCUACUUCAUCACUCAAAUUCUCAACUUCUGCUUCUCUAAGCACCACCCCCCCUACCAUGCAAGAGUGUUUAUCAGGGACUUUUCACGGGGGUCUAGUACUUUUAUCUUCAGUACUUAGUAGUGGGCUAGGUAAAGCUUUAACAUAUGAGGAAGCACUACAACAGUCAGCGAGCACCCCAGCAUCUGAUUUUGAUGUCAGUGGAGUUCUUGAUAGUGUUACUAGUUUUGCAACGGAAAAUCCUACUGUUAUAGCAGGUGGUGCUGUAGUUUUGGCAAUUCCAUUGGUUUUGUCUCAGGUUCUCAAGAAACCCAAGCCAUGGGGUGUUGAGUCCGCAAGAAAAGCUUAUGCAGUAUUGGGAGA